rnacentral:rRNA from 2 species
AACGCGAAGAACCUUACCUGGGCUUGAACUACGGAUGGUAAGCUGUUGGAAACAGUGGCUGACCCGCAAGGGAGUCCGCAGAGGUGCUGCAUGGUUGUCGUCAGCUCGUGUCGUGAGAUGUUGGGUUAAGUCCCGCAACGAGCGCAACCCCUAUCCGAUGUUGCUAAUCCCGCAAGGGAUGCACUCUUCGGAAACUGCCUUCGAUAAGAAGGAGGAAGGUGGGGAUGACGUCAAAUCCUCAUGGCCCUUAUGUCCAGGGCUACACACGUGUUACAAUGGCCGGUACAAUGGGAAGCAAUACCGCAAGGUGGAGCCAAACCCACAAAGCCGGCCCCAGUUCAGAUUGUGGGCUGCAACUCGCCCACAUGAAGGCGGAAUCGCUAGUAAUCGCUGAUCAGCAGGCAGCGGUGAAUACGUUCCCGGGCCUUGUA